AGGCUGUCGANNNNNACUGUCUCAGUCCGCCCGACCGCGCCGCGCCCGGGCGGGGACCGGCCCACGUACAAAGGGCGCUCGGGGUCGGCGGAUGCCGGCUACCUA
rnacentral:rRNA from 1 species